GACGAACGCUGGCGGCGUGCUUAACACAUGCAAGUCGAACGGAGUGGCGAACGGGUGAGUAACACGUGAGUAACCUGCCCUUGACUUCGGGAUAACUUCAGGAAACUGGGGCUAAUACCGGCUAGUUUUGGAUGGACUCGCGGCUUAUCCGCUUGUUGGUGGGGUAGUGGCUUACCAAGGCUUUGACGGGUAGCCGGCCUGAGAGGGCGACCGGCCACAUGGGGACUGAGGUAGGGCCCAGACGCCUAUGUGCGGCAGCAGUGGGGAAUAUUGCACAAUGAGGGGAAGCCUGAUGCAGCAACGCCGGGUGCGGAAUGACGGCCUUCGGGUUGUAAACCGCUUUCAGCAGGAGCGCGGUACCUGCAGAAGAAGCACCGGCUAACUACGUGCCAGCAGCCGCGGUAAUAC
rnacentral:rRNA from 1 species